UGGGGAAUAUUGCACAAUGGGCGAAAGCCUGAUGCAGCGACGCCGCGUGAGGGAUGACGGCCUUCGGGUUGUAAACCUCUUUCAUCAGGGAAGAAGCGGACGUGACGGUACCUGCAGAACAAGCACCGGCUAACUACGUGCCG
rnacentral:rRNA from 1 species